UUUUUUUGGUAUUUUUAUGUGACGGAAAUAGCAUUUGUGGUGGAUAAAGAG
rnacentral:sRNA from 1 species